CGUCGUGAGACAGUUCGGUCCCUAUCUGUCGUGGGCGCUGGAGAACUGAGGGGGGCUGCUCCUAGUACGAGAGGACCGGAGUGGACGCAUCACUGGUGUUCGGGUUGUCAUGCCAAUGGCACUGCCCGGUAGCUAAAUGCGGAAGAGAUAAGUGCUGAAAGCAUCUAAGCACGAAACUUGCCCCGAGAUGAGUUCUCCCUGAGACUUAGAGUCUCCUGAAGGAACGUUGAAGACGACGACGUUGAUAGGCCGGGUGUGUAAGCGCAGCGAUGCGUUGAGCUAACCGGUACUAAUGAACCGUGAGGCUUAACCUUACAACGCCGAAG
rnacentral:rRNA from 1 species